rnacentral:misc_RNA from 1 species
GAAGAAGAAGAAGAAGAAGAAUUAGACCCAAUCCUCCUCAAAAAAGAAACCAACCCACGAAAAACCCUCCUAAACCCACCACCGCCACUGCUCUCCCUCCUUCUACUUGUUCUACUCACCCACGAAACCCGCCUAGGAGCGCCACCACUCCCACUAAACCCACCAUCCAUCUCUGUAAACACGCCGGGAAACUCUCUCUCUCCUCCCCUCCUUCCCCCACUGAAUCUUCCCACUGCAAAUCCACCUCCUGGCAGCCUCCAUAUGGUCAACCCAACAAUUUCCUCCGAUUCCCCCGAAUUCUCGCUUUCUUGCUGAUCCGCCGGUAACUCAUGGCGGCAAACGGGACACGAAUUCCUAAUUGCGAGCCAAGGAAGUAUGCAAUCCGAGUGGUAAAUAUGCGUACAGGGCAUCUCGCGUGCUUUGCCGCCGAGCUCGAACGCCUCCUUACAGACGGCGCAGUGUGCCUCCGCUAAUACGUGGGUUUCGUUUAUUUCAACCGUGGGCAUCGACUCCACCACUGCUUUUGACGCCGGCGGGUUUCCUACCCGCCCGAAACCAUUCACUUCAAUCUGUGCUAACUGGUCUAGCAAGCGGUCAAACCCAGAUCCCAUCAAAAACUCGGACAUAUUGGCCGGCACUGGUCUAAGACCCGACCCGGUGCCGUCAUCAUAGUAGAACUCAUAGCUGCUUCCUUCCUCGUUCUCUUCGGGGGCGGUGCCACGCAAGACAAUAACCGGGUUAAAAGGGGAACGAUCGCCAGCGUUUCGUCGAUUCCGGCGAAAUCUUAAGGUGGGAAUCCGAUCUGAGUCCUGACGGUUUCUAGCGUUGUUAUCGGAUAACAUGUACAUGAAUCGACGGUGUGGAUUGUCCGAUCGCGAAUUGUUUUCGAUCUCUUCGAUAAAUCCACCGUCGCAGUGAGGACAAGUGACGUCGUUGUUCUCCGCAGAGACCAAAACAGUGAUGAAGCGCGUGCAUCUAUAACACCAAUACGACGACGUCGUCGACAUGACUGAAAAGCUUCAGAUCCGGCGAGCAGAGAGAAAGAGAACAAGACACACAAGAAAAAGUCUCGAAGUGAGAAAAUAAAGAAGAGAAAUUGGGCUUUUAAGGCUGGCGCUGGGGCGGUGUAAAAAAGCGCAAUAGAGAGUUCAAAUGACGCGUGAAGCUCACUCGUUUCACUGUGGUUUCGCCCAUAUGCGGACAAUAAUGGAAAAGGCCAAAGAGGCGCGUAACGAAGGAGCGUCGAAGGGAAAAGUUGACUGGGGGGCAAAUAAAAAUCGGCGAGUUUGAAAUUUCAAAACUCGGCGUAGGUGGCAACUCGCAGGAAGAUUCUCAAACGAUGUUAAGGGAGUGGUGGUUGUGUGGUUAGAAUAUAAUUGGCUGAAGGGCCGGACAGAUCUGGAAA